ACUGGAACUGAGACACGGUCCAGACUCCUACGGGAGGCAGCAGCAAGGAAUCUUCCACAAUGGGCGAAAGCCUGAUGGAGCAACGCCGCGUGCAGGAUGAAGGCCCUCGGGUCGUAAACUGCUUUUAUGAGUGAAGAAUAUGACGGUAACUCAUGAAUAAGCACCGGCUAACUACGUGCCAGCAGCCGCGGUCAUACGUAGGGUGCAAGCAUUAUCCGGAGUGACUGGGCGUAAAGAGUUGCGUAGGUGGCUAGUAAAGUGAAUAGUGAAACCUGGUGGCUCAACCAUACAGACUAUUAUUCAAACUCACUAACUCGAGAGUGGUAGAGGUAACUGGAAUUUCUUGUGUAGGAGUGAAAUCCGUAGAUAUAAGAAGGAACACCAAUGGCGUAGGCAGGUUACUGGACCAUUUCUGACACUAAGGCACGAAAGCGUGGGGAGCGAACCGGAUUAGAUACCCGGGUAGUCCACGCCGUAAACGAUGGAUACUAGCUGUUGGAGGUAUCGACCCCUUCAGUAGCGAAGCUAACGCGUUAAGUAUCCCGCCUGUGGAGUACGGUCGCAAGACUAAAACAUAAAGGAAUUGACGGGGAUCAGCACAAGCGGUGGAUUAUGUUCUUUAAUUCGAUGAUAACCGAUGAACCUUACCAGGGUUUGACAUCCAGGGAAGCACUACGAAAGUAGCGUGUGCCUUUUGGAACCCUGUGACAGGUGUUGCAUGGCCGUCGUCAGCUCGUGUCGUGAGAUGUUUGGUUAAGUCCAUCAACGAGCGCAACCCUUGUGAAUAGUUGUAUUUUUCUAUUCAGACUGCUCUAGUAAUAGGGAGGAAGGAGGGGAUGAUGUCAGGUCAGUAUUACCCUUACACCCUGGGCUAGAAACAUAAUACAAUGGCCGGUACAAUGCGCAGCGAAGCAGCAAUGUGGAGCAAAUCGCAUCAAAGCCGGUCCCAGUUCGGAUAAGAGGCUGAAACUCGCCUCUUUGAAGCCGGAAUCGCUAGUAAUCGCAAAUCAGCAAGUUGCGGUGAAUACGUCACUGAUCUUGUACACACCGCCCGUCAAACCAUGAAAGUGACCAACACCCGAAGUCCGAUUCGUCGGCCUAAGGUGGGGGGCAUGAUUGGGGUU
rnacentral:rRNA from 1 species